CCCACUGCGGGGACCCCCUGGGGGACGACGGGUUCGUGGAGCGGGGGGGGCUCCCGUUUUGCCGCCGGGAUUUCGGGGAGCUCUUCGGGGGUCGCUGCCGGGGCUGCCCCCGCCCCGUCCUGGGGGGCUUCGUCACCGCCCUGGGGGGGCUCUGGCACCCCGAGUGCUUCGUCUGCCAGGACUGCCUGGCCCCCUUCCCGGGGGCUCCUUCUUCGAGC